rnacentral:rRNA from 1 species
GACGUAGGGCGCGAGCGUUGUCCGGAUUUAUUGGGCGUAAAGAGCUCGUAGGCGGCUUGUCGCGUCGACUGUGAAAUCCCGAGGCUCAACUUCGGGCUUGCAGUCGAUACGGGCAGGCUAGAGUUCGGUAGGGGAGACUGGAAUUCCUGGUGUAGCGGUGAAAUGCGCAGAUAUCAGGAGGAACACCGGUGGCGAAGGCGGGUCUCUGGGCCGAUACUGACGCUGAGGAGCGAAAGCAUGGGUAGCGAACAGG